rnacentral:rRNA from 1 species
GGCUUAGAAGCAGCCACUCAUUAAAAGAGUGCGUAAUAGCUCACUGGUCGAGUGAUUCUGCGCCGAAAAUUUAACGGGGCUAAACUAUACACCGAAGCUUAGGAUACCGCAAGGUAUGGUAGGAGAGCGUUCUGUACGGAGUGAAGUCGUAGCGAAAGCGGCGGUGGACUGUACAGAAGUGAGAAUGCCGGAAUAAGUAGCGAGAAUUAAGUGAGAAUCUUAAUGGCCGAAAGUCUAAGGUUUUUGGAGGAAGGUUCGUCCGCUCCAAGUAAGUCGGGAGCUAAGGUCAGGCCGAAAGGCGUAGCCGAUGCACAAACGGUUGAUAUUCCGUUACCGUCUACAAUUUAAACAAAGGGACACAUACAAAGCGUUUAACCCGGGCGAUGGUUGACCCGGGCGCAAGGGACUGAAAUAAGAGUAGGGAAGUAAAUGUGGCGUAUGGCGAGAAAAGCUUUGUGAAUAGAAGUAGACGCCCGUACCGCAAACCGACACAGGUGGACAGGAAGAGAAUUCUAAGGCCAGCGGGAGAAGGGUAGUUAAGGAACUCGGCAAAUUGACUCCGUAACUUCGGAAUAAGGAGUGCUCGAAAGAGCCGCAGAGAAUAGGCCCAGGCGACUGUUUAGCAAAAACACAGGUCUCUGCCAAAUCGAAAGAUGAAGUAUAGGGGCUGACACCUGCCCGGUGCCGGAAGGUUAAGAGGAGGAGUGCAAGCUCCGAAUUGAAGCCCCGGUAAACGGCGGCCGUAACUAUAACGGUCCUAAGGUAGCGAAAUUCCUUGUCGGGUAAGUUCCGACCCGCACGAAUGGUGUAACGAUCUGGGCACUGUCUCAACUACCCACCCGGCGAAAUUGUAGUACCGGUGAAGAUGCCGGUUACCUGCGGCAAGACGGAAAGACCCCAUGGAGCUUUACUGUAGCCUGAUAUUGGGUUUCGGAAAUCUAUGUACAGGAUAGGCGGGAGACUGGGAAGUAUGAGCGUCAGCUUAUACGGAGUCAUUGUUGGGAUACCGCCCUUAGGUUUCUGGAAUUCUAACCUGCGACCGUGAAUCCGGUCGGGGGACAUUGUCAGGUGGGCAGUUUGACUGGGGCGGUCGCCUCCGAAAAGGUAACGGAGGCGCUCAAAGGUUGGCUCAGCACGGACGGAAACCGUGCCUCUGAGUGUAAACGCAAAAGCCAGCCUAACUGCGAGGAUGACGGUCCGAGCAGUAACGAAAGUUGGAGUUAGUGAUCCGGCGGUAUGU